CCCACAGCCAACAGCAUAUCAAUUUGGAGUCAGGGAAGGCUUCACAAUACAGGUGGCCCCUGAGCAGCUAUGAAGAUUGGGCAGGGCUCUGCCAGAGAAUGAUAGAGGGCUUCAGGAUUCAAAACUUUGAUGAUGGAACAGAUCUGUGAAUGGAGGUGUCAAUGGAUUAACAUGUGUAUUCCCAGAGCCUAUGCAGCCCUUGACUUGGAUGACCAAGUGAAUGAAUAAUAAAUCUGAAGUCCAAGUUAAGCAAAUGCAAAGCCUGGAAGUGUGUGGGAGGCUGCCUGGGGUCCAAAGCUGACAGGAGCAAGCAAACAAGCCUCUGAAAAUUACCCAGAUGUGUCACAUGCCUCAGGGAGGACCCUGUUUUCAACUGAGACCAUUAACGCAUUUAUGGCUAACACAAGGACAUUGAUUGCCUGCCACAUGCAAGAUUGGGUCCAGGUGCUGAAGAAACACAGAUGUGCUGCAUCCUUGACUUUAAGGAGCAUCCCUGGGUUGGAGGGAUUCUCUGCAGGCUGCUGUGGUGGAGGGAAGAUUUGCCCAACUUACUCUUGGCGCUGGACCCCCUGAGCCAUCUUCACACACCCAGGUGAACUUUGGGAAGGUAACAGCUUUUCAGUUGCAAACCCAAGUGAAUUAGAGCAAAACAGAUCCCACGUGCUUGACACAUGGAAACUUUCAGAGCCAAUGGUUUAUAAACUUACCAAGAGCUGGGGGAGUAAACACAUCCCAGGGAACUGUGGAGCACUUCUCUGGCAUUGAUACACAUAAGCAGAAAGCACAGCCUUCCCCGACACUUGCCUUAAGAUAGUCUUUUGUCUUAGAACCCAGAGGCUUACCUGAGCUAAACCACAUAAAGUGCUUAGUGCGAUGCCUUGAACAUACCAAGCUCUUAAUAAACGCUAAGGUCACUAUUAGCAUUGCUUGUCAUGGAAUAAACCUAGGAUACAUCUAUAAAACUGUCCAUAAUCUUCCUUGCCUUGUGGAAAGUUGUUCCACUAUUCCAACAUCCUUUUAGGGGUUCUCAGCUAAUCUACCUUUCAAAACGAAAAUUUAUUAUACACUUCUUAAGUGCUAGGUAGUUUUGUAUAUUUAUGUGUAUUAUCUCAUUAAAUGAUCUCUCAGCCCUCUGAGAAAAGCACUAUUAUCAUCCAUAUUUCACAGAUGAAGAAAUCGUCAGAGUUUCCAUAUAUCAUUGUCAGAGAUGUUAAGCAACUUGCUUAAGGUUACACAGCCUUAGCAGAAGUACUUGUUUGACUCCAAAGCCUACCAUUAUGCUGGAAUCACUAGAAUCCAGGUGGCCUAUCUGAACCCGGAUUCAGGCAUCUGAAGCUGAAUAGCUGCCAUUCUUGCUUUUAACCUCCUGGUAAAAGCAGGCUAUGCCUGAUCUAUCUAUCUAUCUAUCUAUCUAUCUAUCUAUCUAUCUAUCUAUCUAUCAAUCAUCUAU
rnacentral:lncRNA from 1 species